rnacentral:rRNA from 2 species
UUAAAUUGAAGAGUUUGAUCAUGGCUCAGAUUGAACGCUGGCGGCAGGCCUAACACAUGCAAGUCGAACGGUAACAGGAAGCAGCUUGUUGCUUCGCUGACGAGUGGCGGACGGGUGAGUAAUGUCUGGGAAACUGCC